UAUGACAACCCACACCGCUAUCAACAAGCAAAACCGAGCAGCAUGUUUUACUGAUGUUUUGAUCUAUUAGAAUGUGGCACAAUGUUCCAAGUCAGUAGCCUGCUCCGUUAUAAUAUUAUUGAAAUAGCAAACCGCAUUUUCACUGGACAUUUUCAAACUUUUAAAAUCAAAAACGCUGGACGCGUAAGCGUGAAUUAUCACUUAGCCACAGCCGUGGAGAAGAAAGCCAUGUUCUGAGAACGUUCAGUGGUGGUGGCCAAACUCUGUAAAUAUGUCUCAGGGCUAUAAAUGUUAGCUAUAUGGGCUCCAUGCUAACCCCAGUCCUCUGUUGGUUAGCAGUGAUGUUUUAGAAGUCCAGUGGGAAAGAAUGCAAGACAGCCUUAUCCUCCAAGCCUUGGACAGGAAAACAAAGUGAUUUCAUCAUUGUACUGAUAUAGAUUCACGCUGAAGGACAAUGACAAGGCAGUAUGCUGGUAUACACUUUACUGGGGCAAAAGGAUUCUGAGUGUUCUGAUGUUCUGAAGUGGAUUACUGGUAUGGAGGCACACAAGAACGGAACGUGCAACUUUAUUAUUGUGUGAUGGCACCUCUACGGGGUAAAAUAUGUUGUCGCUGAAAUAAAUGGAGCAAAAAAUAUAUGUGUUUGCACCCGAGGCGUUCGGCAGCCGUAGAGAAUGAAUUGCGACAGCUGCACAGGCACAGAUAGUUUCAUUGUGCCGCGACAGCAAAAUUGCCCUUGGGGGUGGCAGGAUCCAAGAAUCCGAGGAGGAGGGCGGAGAAAGCCCUGUGUCAGACCUUUCAGUGCCACAACAAUGUCCCGGCACUUAUGCGGUCAGACAGUGGAUUGUCACAGGUUUGUCAGGUGGAUCGCCACGGCAACAACUUUGGGCUAGCAAUGUAGCUUCCAGGAUUAUUACAGGCGGAGAUUUGACAGAGUAGACUCCCUGCGUCUGGAGUCCCAAGCGUGGCAGUCCAGGACCCAUAAAGAUCCUUAGAUCCUUGAUCGGCUGGACUCUGAGACAGUUGGCACAGCGCCGGGUGGGAGCAAGGUGGGAUUUGGGAAUGGCUGAAUGGCAGAGCCGUCCCUUCAGCGCCACAUCCUGUGUGACGUCGCUGUGCUGGCAAUUAUGUGAUCAUGAAUGACUGAGAACAAUAACGUGUAAUGUGUAUGUGAAUAACGAUUAAAAAGCCUAAUCAUUGGCCCGAGUUGGUUCUUAAAUAGUUCUUCCUUCCCUCUUCUACUGAAGAACAAUACAAACUGC
ensembl:lncRNA